UACGGAGGGGGCUAGCGUUGUUCGGAUUUACUGGGCGUAAAGCGCACGUAGGCGGAUUUGUAAGUCAGGGGUGAAAUCCCGGGGCUCAACCUCGGAACUGCCUUUGAUACUGCAAAUCUCGAGUCCGGGAGAGGUGAGUGGAACUGCGAGUGUAGAGGUGAAAUUCGUAGAUAUUCGCAAGAACACCAGUGGCGAAGGCGACUCGCUGGACAGACACUGACGCUGAGGUGCGAAAGCGUGGGGAGCAAACAGG
rnacentral:rRNA from 1 species